rnacentral:rRNA from 1 species
CGCCCGCUCAGAAACUUAAAGGAAUUGACGGGGGCCCGCACAAGCGGAGGAGCAUGUGGUUUAAUUCGAUGAUACGCGAGGAACCUUACCUGGGCUCGAACGUAAGAUGACUGUAGGUGAAAGCUUACAUCUCUUCGGAGCAUUUUACGAGGUGCUGCAUGGUUGUCGUCAGCUCGUGCCGUGAGGUGUCGGGUUAAGUCCCAUAACGAGCGCAACCCCUAUCAUUUAGUUGCCAUCAGGUCAAGCUGGGGACUCUAAUGAAACUGCCUACGCAAGUAGUGAGGAAGCGGGGAUGACGUCAAAUCAGCACGGCCCUUACGUCCAGGGCUACACACGUGCUACAAUGACCGAUACAGAGGGCAGCUACCUGGUGACAGGAUGCAAAUCUCCAAAGUCGGUCUCAGUUCGGAUCGGAGUCUGCAACCCGACUCCGUGAAGUUGGAUUCGCUAGUAAUCGCGCAUCAGCCAUGGCGCGGUGAAUACGUUCCCGGGCCUU